UAAGGAGAGGUGUGUCCAGUUAGGAUCCCUUUGUUUGAGCCUUGCCUUGCUGCCACACAAGUCUGGGUAAAUCGGGGCAAAACCUAGUUAACUGAAGCCACAUAGACUUUGUUUGUCCUCAAAAGAGUGAAUUACUACUCCUGAGGGUUAUGAUAAAGAAAGCCCAGGCCUCUCCUUUCAUUGUGGAUGCAUUAAAAUCUGAUUUUACUCACCAGAUGAAAUUCUUACUGCGCCAUCAGUCUGAGCAGCUGAAAGUGAAAGAACAAAAGAUUCAACUCACACGAGGUGAAAAAAAAGAGGAAGCUGUUACUCAGACAGCCUGUCAGAAAACAGAACGGAAGUGUUUUCUACAUGAGGAAGAAGAUUGUUAUUCGAUUAUAUUUUCUCUGAUCCACAAAGUUUUUUCAGUGAUGGUUGAUCAUGUCAAGACGCUCUGACGCCUCAGCAGAUCAGUUUGUGCCAUCAGCUGCUGAACUUUGAAAUAAAGUGAAUUAAAUAAAGAAAAUGUUUUUCACCAAUGAAUUUGAAGAAGCUUCAUGAAGGGAGGCGUUCCAUGUAGAAACUGCACAUUUUACAAAUGUGAUUCACUCAUUUCAGUCCCAGCAGACCUUCAUCAGAGUGUCAGAAUAGUUUCCUGUGCACCAAGGCUCCAACUUAACCCACGCACACAACUGGAACUGCAAUGACUUCAUAUUAAAAGAUGACUGAUGUUUGUAUCCUGUAACUCUCCUUUUUGUAAUACAGUUACUCUAUAUGGAUAUUUCUCAUGCAUGGUUUGUGUAUCAGGCCACUCAUUGCACUAUAGAGGCUGCACUGUGGUUUAGUUCAUAAUGUUUAUU